GAUGAACGCUGGCGGCGGGCUUAACACAUGCAAGUCGAACGGAAAGGCCCUGCUUGUGUGGGGUGCUCGAGUGGCGAACGGGGGAGGAACACGUGAGUAACCUGCUCUAGACUUUGGGAUAAGUUCAGGAAACGGGGGCUAAUACCGGAUAGGAGCUCCCGCUGCAUGGUGGGGGGUGGAAAGUUUCGGCGGGUGGGGAUGGACUCGCGGCUGAUCAGCUUGUUGGUGGGGGAGUGGCUUACCAAGGCUUUGACGGGUAGCCGGCCUGAGAGGGUGACCGGCCACAUUGGGACUGCGGUACGGACCAGACUCCUACGGGAGGCAGCAGUGGGGAAUAUUGCACAAUGGGCGGAAGCCUGAUGCAGCAACGCCGCGUGCGGGAUGACGGCCUUCGGGUUGUAAACCGCUUUCGCCUGUGACGAAGCGUGAGUGACGGUAAUGGGUAAAGAAGCACCGGCUAACUACGUG
rnacentral:rRNA from 1 species